ACCCGUUUAGUUCAGUUAGUAGAAUGCAAAGCUCUUAACCUUGUGGUUGUGGGUUAGAGUCCCAUGGCGGAUU
rfam:Glycine max cultivar Williams 82 chromosome 17, whole genome shotgun sequence.